rnacentral:rRNA from 1 species
AUUGAACGCUGGCGGCAUGCCUUACACAUGCAAGUCGAACGGCAGCACGGGUGCUUGCACCUGGUGGCGAGUGGCGAACGGGUGAGUAAUACAUCGGAACGUACCUUAUCGUGGGGGAUAACGCAGCGAAAGCUGUGCUAAUACCGCAUACGCCCUGAGGGGGAAAGCGGGGGAUCGCAAGACCUCGCGCGAUUAGAGCGGCCGAUGCCUGAUUAGCUUGUUGGUGGGGUAAAAGCCCACCAAGGCGACGAUCAGUAGCUGGUCUGAGAGGACGAUCAGCCACACUGGGACUGAGACACGGCCCAGACUCCUACGGGAGGCAGCAGUGGGGAAUUUUGGACAAUGGGGGCAACCCUGAUCCAGCAAUGCCGCGUGAGUGAAGAAGGCCUUCGGGUUGUAAAGCUCUUUUGUCAGGGAAGAAACAGCAGCUCUAACACAGUCUGCGAAUGACGGUACCUGAAGAAUAAGCACCGGCUAACUACGUGCCAGCCGCCGCAGUAA